CGGGAAAAGCUCAAAUUUAAAAUCUGGCGGUCCCUGUGGCCGUCCGAGUUGUAAUUUAGAGAAGUGUUAUCCGUGCUGGACCGUGUACAAGUCUCCUGGAAUGGAGCGUCAUAGAGGGUGAGAGCCCCGU
rnacentral:rRNA from 1 species